rnacentral:lncRNA from 1 species
GGUCCCGAGGGCUGUAACCUGUUUAUCUACCACCUCCCCCAGGAGUUUGGAGACACGGAGCUGACGCAGAUGUUCCUACCCUUCGGCAAUAUCAUUUCCUCCAAGGUGUUUAUGGAUCGAGCUACCAACCAGAGCAAGUGUUUCGCUUCGUGAGCUUUGAUAACCCGGCCAGCGCCCAGGCAGCCAUCCAGGCCAUGAACGGCUUCCAGAUCGGCAUGAAGAGGCUCAAAGUCCAGCUGAAGCGGCCCA